GAAUUUUAUGAUUGUAAGACUCAGUGUAUCUGCAGGCAAUACAGUGUGAAAUCAGUACAUACGAAUUCAGGUGUAGACGUAUUCAUAAUGGCUGGGGACUAAUUUAGACUUUAUUUUUUGUGUUUUCUUUUUGACUAACAGACUACAGCGAGCUGCAGGAAGCAAUUCAAAGCAACAGCAGGAUGGUCAUCUUCAGGAGCAUAUUAAUGGCUAGUACUGGAAUUCUGCAGUCAAUAUCUUUUUACCCAGAGGCUUCUUCAUUAUCACAUGUGCCAGACCCAGCUGCCUGUUGGAACAGCUUCCUGAGGAAAGUAACAGCACAGAGCAGGAGACCAGAGACCCGCUCUGAAACCCAGAGCACUGAGGGACCACAGAGCAGGCACAGUCACUACUGUAACCUGUUACCAGGCCACAUGAAAUAGACUUAGGAACCAAAGAGCCUGGAGCAUUUGAAUAGAAGAAAAUUAAGACAACAGAAUUAACAGAAGUGUUGAUUAUAUGUGCCAUUGUCCUUUUGUGACAAAGGAGUUAUCUUUCUCAAACAGAAAUCCAGUCUCCAAGUGAGCUUGGUAUAAAAGUCAGACUUUUUGACUGCUUUUCUUAUGGCUAUCAAGAGCAAUACAUCUGGUCUGGGGUGGAUUAUGCUCCAGCUGUCGACACCACCUCUAUAUAUUUCUCUUUAUCUUAGCAGGUUGCCACAGCUAACAUAUUUACCCAAAAUGAAUGUCCAUAUGUCUGACUUUUAUAUAUUCCUUCUUCUUACCUUUUACUUUCUACCACAUAAAAUGGAGGCAUAAAAGAUGAAUUUACUGAUAGAGAAACACACAAAUUUCCUGUGCUUAGAAUAUAGAAGAGUGUAAUGAAUGCUUUCACCCUCAGUCAUUAUGCGUAAUUGUUGUACAAAUUUUCCUAAGGCAGUUUGGGCAUUGAUAAUGGUAGUAUUAGUCUCUGCUUGUUAGAAAAAGACUAUCAAUAUGACUUCAAAUUUAACACUACAUUUUCAAAAGUAAACCAGUAUUACAAAUUAAAUGUUUUCAAGAUAAUAUUUGUUCACCUUUUUACAAAUUCUUCUCCCUUGCUCUUUGGAAGUUUAUUUCUUCUUCCCUUUGUACUUCAACUGUGCAAAUGCUCACAAAGUUCACAGUAACAUAGAGGUGUGAAGGUCUGCACAGAACCAUGUGGAAAACCUCUCAUAUUCAAUGUUAGGCUUCAAUUUUCUUGCACUAACAAUCAGAUUUUCUCAUUUGCUUCUAAUGUAGAGAUACUGACAUUAAAAAUCAUACCUCAAACUUCCUAAUGUUGUAACAUAGUCAACUCGAUUCAUGACAUGUAAAAGACAACAUUUCUAGUCAUAAUUAAUUAUACUCCAAAUAAAUCACAUAAGUCAAAAAGCUUUAACUUUCCU
rnacentral:lncRNA from 1 species